rnacentral:misc_RNA from 1 species
UCUCCGUUGGUGAACCAGCGGAGGGAUCAUUACUGAGUCGUAAAAAACUCCCAACCCAUGUGAACUUACCUUUGUUGCCUCGGCGGGACCUACCUGGUACCUACCCUGUAGCCCGCCGGUGGACAUUUCAACUCUUGUUAUUUUAUGUAAUCUGAGCGUCUUAUUUUAAUAAGUCAAAACUUUCAACAACGGAUCUCUUGGUUCUGGCAUCGAUGAAGAACGCAGC